rnacentral:rRNA from 1 species
CCUACGGGAGGCAGCAGUGGGGAAUUUUGGACAAUGGGCGAAAGCCUGAUCCAGCCAUGCCGCGUGUCUGAAGAAGGCCUUCGGGUUGUAAAGGACUUUUGUCGGGGAGGAAAUCCCCAGCGCUAAUACCGCUGGGGGAUGACAGUACCUGAAGAAUAAGCACCGGCUAACUACGUGCCAGCAGCCGCGGUAAU